AUUGAACGCUGGCGGCAUGCCUUACACAUGCAAGUCGAACGGCAGCGGACCUUCGGGUGCCGGCGAGUGGCGAACGGGUGAGUAAUAUAUCGGAACGUACCUUUCAGUGGGGGAUAACGUAGCGAAAGUUACGCUAAUACCGCAUAUCCUGUGAGCAGGAAAGCAGGGGAUCGCAAGACCUUGCGCUGAUUGAGCGGCCGAUAUCAGAUUAGCUAGUUGGUGAGGUAAAGGCUCACCAAGGCGACGAUCUGUAGCGGGUCUGAGAGGAUGAUCCGCCACACUGGAACUGAGACACGGCCCAGACUCCUACGGGAGGCAGCAGUGGGGAAUUUUGGACAAUGGGCGCAAGCCUGAUCCAGCCAUGCCGCGUGAGUGAAGAAGGCC
rnacentral:rRNA from 1 species